CCCUGACAGAGUGAAAGACACUCCCAGCUCAAACCACAUUAUCCUCCUCAGUACAGAGGUGUGCAGAGCCCUGACAGAGUGAAAGACACUCCCAGCUCAAACCACAUUAUCCUCCUCAGUACAGAGGUGUGCAGAGCCCUGGCAGAGUGAAAGACACUCCCAGCUCAAACCACAUAAUCCUCCUCAGUAGAGGUGUGCAGAGCCCUGGCAGAGUGAAAGACACUCCCAGCUCAAACCACAUUAUCCUCCUCAGUACAGAGGUGUGCAGAGCCCUGGCAGAGUGAAAGACACUCCCAGCUCAAACCACAUAAUCCUCCUCAGUAGAGGUGUGCAGAGCCCUGGCAGAGUGAAAGACACUCCCAGCUCAAACCAC